GGUGUCAAUGUGCUGAUAUUCCAAUCUUGCAGAAAUCGACUGGAUUUAGUGGAAUUAAAGUCAACUGGAAGACGAUCUGUGGGGAUAAUUCCAUGAUUCAAAGCCUUCAGGGAAAACGUGUUUGCUCAGCUGCAGUGAUUGAAAAAUUGAAGGCAAUGAGAGUCAUAUGUUAUGCUUGGUUAUGUCCUGCUCUGAUGCCAGUUUGGAGUAAAGGCUGAACUUUGCUGUUGAAAGCCACUGUGGAAAGUGGAAACAUUGACUGUGCGUUGCUGAGGGGAGGAAUGUAUUUACUUACCCAGAAAUAGACGCAUCCUUGUCUCAGUGGGCUGGGAGAUAGUAUCAAUCCUUUCUGUUGCAACAGAUCCCACUGCCUUCUUUUUUCAAAAGAGUAAAUAUUUAAAUAGGUAAUACAGAAAAGUUAUUGCCAUUUUUCCUUCAUCAGCCAUGGCUGGGAGUCAAAAGAG
ensembl:lncRNA FRG1-DT FRG1 divergent transcript